rnacentral:lncRNA from 1 species
GAUCUGAAAUAUCCAGUGACUUCCCAUCUCACUAGAGUACAGAGCCUCCUGGUAACCUUCAAGGCCUAGCAGUUCCCCCCCAGGAAUUGCCUAGCUCUUAUUUUCCCCUGGGGGACUUUGCACAAGUCAUUCUUCCUACUCCUGCCCCCAAGCCUCUGUGGCUGCACCCUCAUUCAUGUCUCAGCUUAAAAUCUCUUCAGGAGAUCUCUCCUUUUCUUACCUUUCCUUCUUUUCUGACUAGUACUUCUUGCUCCUGAGCAUUUAAUUAUUCAUUUGUUUGUCUCUCCCACUAGAAUAUAAGCAGCUCCAAAAAAGGGGAAAAAAAAAUCUCUCCUUGUAGAGAAUCAGACAAGACUGCAAAACGUCUGUUUGCAAGCAUGCAUAGUCAUGUCUGAUUCUCUACAUCUCCUGCUAGAUCUUCAGCAGCAGGAUUUAUUGCAUAGGUGUGUGGUAAAUAUGUGUUGACAGAAUGAAUGAAGAUUCCCUCUCUUAUUCUGCUGGAAUGGGGUCCCCAAUCCAGAUGAGCCUUGCAAGACACUUUAACCUGCAGCCCAAAGGACACCUGUGUUUUCUGGUAGGCUCUGGAGUAAGAGGAUGGACUUAACCCUGAGCCAAGAGGAGAAGGAGGGAGGCAUUAAAUUUCCCAAGAUGCCAAGCACCAGACAACUCAAGUGAAGGCUUUGGGUUACAUCUUGAGACAGCUCUGUCCUGUCACUGACAGAGACAUCAUUUAAUGGUGAGGAAGUAGCAUUGUGGUGCAGAAGGUGAAACAACCCCUAUCUAG